rnacentral:misc_RNA from 1 species
GAAAUGCGAUAAGUAAUGUGAAUUGCAGAAUUCAGUGAAUCAUCGAAUCUUUGAACGCACCUUGCGCUCCUUGGUAUUCCUUGGAGCAUGCCUGUUUGAGUAUCAUGAAAUCUUCAAAGUAAAUAUUUUGUUAACUCAAUUGGUUUCUACUUUGGUAUUGGAGGUCUUUGCAGCUUCACACCUGCUCCUCUUUGUUCAUUAGCUGGAUCUCAGUGUUAUGCUUGGUUCCACUCGGCGUGAUAAGUUAUCUAUCGCUGAGGACACUGUAAAAGGUGGCCAAGGUAAAUGCAGAUGAACCGCUUCUAAUGGUCCAUUGACUUGGACAAUACUUUUAUGAUCUGAUCUCAAAUCAGGUAGGACUACCCGCUGAACUUAAGC